GGGAAGGGGCGGGGCCGGCGGGCUGAUGGCCCGGGUCGUCGCCGCCGCCGCCGCCUCAGCAGCAGGAACCGAAGUCGCCGCCGUCGCCACCGCCCGGGUCGCCGGCCGCCCGCGCGCUGACUCGGCUGGGGCCCGCAGCCAUGGAGGACUUCAUCGUGAUCUCGGACGACAGCGGCUCCGAGAGCUCCGGGGGGGCCCGCUCGGGCCGGCCGCGGAGGCUCCGCCGGGCCCUGUCGCGGCCCCCCGGCGCGCUGCCCCGCCGGACCGUGGACUUCAUUGACUUAACUAGAGAAACGAGACCAAGGGCAAAGGAUCGCAAUGGACUCUGUGUGAUUGACCUGACAAGAACUGAGGAAGAAAAUAGACCUAUUGCCACUCUUGACUUGACUCUAGAACCUGUUACUCCCUCCCAGAAGGAGCCAGCCAAUCUUCAAACAUGUGCCAGCCUCUCCAGCAAAGAGGUAAUGGAAGGGCGAGUGGACAGAAGCUCUCGGCCUGCAGCACGGAGAAUCAUUAACAGCGAUCCUGUGGAUUUGGACCUUUUGGAAGAAACCACAUUUGAAGGUCCCCAACCCCCUGCAUCCAUCAGUGGGAAUUCUGUUUAUCCAGUGGAGCCAAAUUGUAGCUCAACCACGUUCAAAGGUGACCUCAGCUUCUUGGCAAGCCUACAGCUGUCUUCAGAUGUUCACUCCCUCUCCCCAAAAAGCAAUAAUGGUAGCAGCUGCAAUCAAAGGGCACCCUUGCCAUGCCCACAGCAAGAUGUGCCUUGUCCGCCACAGGCCUUGCCCUGCCCACUGCAAGCCUUGCCAUGCACACUGCGAGCCUCACCAUGUCCACCACGAGCCUCCUCAUGCCCACCGCGAGCCUUGUCAUGCCCAUCACAGACCAUGCAGUGCCAGCUGCAAACUAUGCCUCACCUGCCUCAAGAAGUGCCAUGCCCUCCUCAAGAUGUGCCAUGCCCUCAGAACAUGCCAUGCCCUCAGCAGAAUAUGCCAAGCCCACCUCAGGACUCAUCAUGGUGUCCUCAACACUCACCAAGCCCACCUCAAGACACAUCCUGCCCACCUCAAGACUCACUUUGCCCACCUCAAGACUCACUCUGCCCAUCUCAAGACUCUCUGGGCCUACCUCAGGAUGUACCGGGCCCACCUCAAAACAUACCAUAUCCACAAGAUGUGGCACACCUACAAGUUAUGCCACAGUCACUGGGAGAUGUGCCACAGUCACCAGGAAACGUGCCACAGUCACCAGGAAACGUGCCACAGUCACCAGGAAAUGUGCCACAGUCACCAGGAGACGUGCCACAGUCACCAGCAGAUGUGCCACAGUCACCAGCAGACAUGCCACAGUCACCAGGAGACGUGCCACAGUCACCAGCAGAUGUGCUACAGUCACCAGGAGAUGCGCCACGGUCACCAGGAAGUGUGCCACAUUCACCUAGAGAAGUCUCACACUUACCAGGACAUGUGCCAUGUUCACCUGGAGACAUACCACACUUGCUGGGAAACAUGCCACACUCACUUGGAGACUUGCCUCUCUUACCACAAGACAGGCUUGACUCUCCCCAAAAUGACAUAGAGAACCGUGACACUCCUAUGGAUAUCUCAGCUCCAUCCUCUCCAAGCUGCUCUCCCAGCCCACAGUCUCCACAGUCUAAAAUUUCCCUAGAGAAAGUUUCUUGGCUCUCUGCCACAGAAACUCCAGCCAGAAAAGAGAUAUCACUGUCAGAGCCUGCCAACCCCGGGUCUGCCCAGGUACAAGCACGAACACCACAAGGUGGAUUGUACAACAGACCAUGCCUGCAUAGACUGAAGUACUUCUUACGACCUCCGGUGCAUCACCUCUUCUUCCAGACACUAAUACCAGAUAAAGACACAAGAGAGAGCAAGGGUCAAAAAUUAGAACCCAUCCCUCAUCGAAGACUAAGAAUGGUGACAAACACCAUUGAAGAAAAUUUUCCCCUGGGGACUGUGCAGUUUUUGAUGGACUUUGUGUCACCCCAGCAUUACCCACCCAGAGAAAUUGUGGCUCAUAUCAUCCAGAAAAUCCUUCUGAGUGGCUCUGAGACCGUGGAUGUCCUAAAGGAGGCCUACAUGCUUCUCAUGAAAAUUCAACAGCUACAUCCAGCUAAUGCCAAGACAGUGGAGUGGGACUGGAAGCUGCUCACUUACGUCAUGGAGGAAGAGGGACAAAAUCUGCCUGGGCGUGUCCUUUUUCUGCGUUAUGUAGUACAGACCCUGGAAGAUGACUUCCAGCAGACCCUGAGGAAGCAACGACAGCACCUGCAGCAAUCCAUUGCAAGCACUGUGCUGUCCUGUGAUAAGCAGCCGCACAAUGUGAGGGAUGUUAUCAAGUGGUUGGUCAAAGCGGUAACUGAAGACGGAUUAACUCAGCUCCCAAAUGGGAAUCAAACCUCUUCAGGAACAGGAAUCUUGAGGGGCAGCAGUAGCCACCCUUCUCCCCCGCCGGCCCUGACAAAGAACACCAAUCAGCUGAUUGUGUGCCAGCUGCAGAGGAUGCUGUCCAUAGCCGUAGAGGUAGACAGGACUCCCACCUGCAGCUCCAAUAAAAUUGCUGAGAUGAUGUUUGGGUUUGUGCUGGACAUUCCUGAGAGGAGUCAGAGAGAGAUGUUCUUUACUACCAUGGAAAGCCACCUUCUGCGCUGCAAAGUGUUGGAAAUCAUAUUCCUCCACAGCUGCGAGACCCCCACCCGCCUGCCCUUGUCUCUGGCCCAGGCCCUCUAUUUUCUGAACAAUUCUACAUCACUGCUCAAGUGUCAGUCAGAUAAAACCCAGUGGCAGACAUGGGAUGAGCUGGUUGAGCAUCUGCAGUUUCUGUUAUCUAGUUAUCAACAUGUUUUAAGAGAUGGGAAGACAAAGACUGAGAGAAAAGUAAAUGCAGAGCCAGGAUUCAAACUUAGGUCUGUCGCCAAAGUCUGUGUGCAAUGAAAACACUCUGGAAGGAAUUACUUUUCUAUGAAAUCAUUGGGUGAGAUUAGAAGAGCACUUACGGAGUUCAGUGAUUGAUCGCAAAGAUUUAAUAAUCAAAAGGAUUAAGCCCAAGCCCCAGCAAGGAGACGAUAUCACGGUGGUGGAUGUGGAGAAGCAGAUCGAGGCCUUCCGCAGCCGCCUCGUCCACAUGCUGGGGGAGCCGCUGGUGCCCCAGCUCCAGGACAAAGUGCACUUGCUGAAGCUCCUGCUCUUCUAUGCUGCGGACCUGAACCCUGAUGCAGAGCCUUCUCCCAAGAACUGGAGCAGCCCCUGAAGUCCUUCGAAGCACUGAACACCAAGAAUACCUCCUGAACUCUAUCUCCAACUACUUGGAAGUUGUAAAAGUACGAAAAGUAGUUAAAAAUCUUGUAGGACCAAACCUAUCUUAUUUAUCUGUAGGUUAUGAUAACUUUCUAACUCUUUAGUAGAUAACCUUUUUUUUGAUAAUCCUCACCUAGCCUAUUCUCAAAUAUGGCUUAAUAUACAAGGUGUAUAUAUUUUUUAAUAAAUUAUUUAUCUAUCCUUUUUUUGAAAAGGUAAUACUAUAUGCACUAUAUUUAACAGUUCCACUCAAGAUGUGAAAAAGAAUCCCUCUGUGAACAAAUCCUAGACAUCAAUGUCAUGUCAUUCACGGUACUGACAACCUGUUUUGAACGAGAAAGACAUAUCCGUUUCUCCCUAAUGGAACACAAACAUCCUAUAUUAGAUCUCUUACAUUGCGUAUGAAUUUGACUUUGUGGCCAGUCUAUUAAGAUCUAAUGUAAUGAGGGGGGUUAGCAACACAAGGAUUGAGUGUGUUACAAAAAAUUUGAUGUUAAAAGGAUACAAUAAAAAAGCAAUGGUUUUUCAAAAUA